GGGGGAGGUAUCUUAGUACUAAGCCCGUAUUUGUUUUUUCAGCUAAAGCCUAAAGUAUUGUUCUUUGCUGGGUUCUUUGAACGAUCGGAUGCGCUUUCGGUCGGGCUUGGUUUGUUUAAUCACGAGUUGCUGAUAGGUACGGUACGUACUAGGUACUAGGAGCGAUUUUGUCUGCUAAAGCACACCAGUUUCCCUCUGGCUGCUGAUACCUUUUCUGAUG
rnacentral:lncRNA from 1 species